UGGACAACACUUUCACCGGCGGACUGCGAGCUCUGUCUGCACUCAGAAAGCUGGUUCCCAUCAUCUUCAGUACUGCUGCUUAAAAACGCGGAAUUCACAAGCUUCAGUGUGGAUCCAGAACACUUAAGAAGAGAUGAUGCCAGCCCCACAGAGGACUUCAGAUGAUGCCAACCCUAAAAACAUACAGCAAUACCAAAUUCUGCUACUAAUUUAUAGCGUUCUUUGUCUGUUUGAUUACGUCAUUACUUGAUCUUUACCACACAUUUCUUCCAUAUGUACAUCAAGCUACUACUACAUAUAUUGUAAAAAUGUCAAUUUGGUGUAAAGCUGCUUUGCAACGAUAUGCAUCGUGAAAAGCGCUAUACAAAUACAUUUGAAUUGAAUUCA